CCCUGUGACAUAAUUGGUCCGGAUUUGGCUGAUCCUGUCAGAUCUUGGAAGCUAAGCAAAGGUGAGCCUGGUUAGUACUUGGAUAACAGACCUCUGCGGAAGGACAGGUGUUGUCGAUU
rnacentral:rRNA from 1 species